AAUGGGAGAUAAUCUGGAAGAAGGAGGCAGGGGCAAGAUCAGGCAUUGCAAACACAAGGAAAGAGAAGCCGUUAGAUCAUCAAGAAGUGAGCUGAGACAACUUCAAGUUCAGCACCUACGGGAGUUGGAACCAAGGGAGAAGUGUCUCUUCGAAAAGUCAAAAACA